AUGACAGUGCCUUUUGGCUUAGAUCAAGUGUAGUAUCUGUUCUUUUCAGUUUAAUCUCUGAAACGAGUCUACGGACUCAUUUAUCGAUUAUACUUAUUUUUG
rnacentral:snRNA from 1 species